rnacentral:rRNA from 1 species
UACGGGGGGAGCAAGCGUUGUUCGGAUUUACUGGGCGUAAAGGGCGGGUAGGCGGCCACCGCAAGUCAGUUGUGAAAUCUCCGGGCUUAACCCGGAAAGGUCAACUGAUACUGCGGGGCUAGAGUGCAGAAGGGGCAACUGGAAUUCUCGGUGUAGCGGUGAAAUGCGUAGAUAUCGGAAGGAACAUCAGUGGCGAAAGCGGCUUCCUGGACCAGUACCGACGUUCAGGCACGAAAGCGUGGGGAGCAAACAGG